GACGAACGCUGGCGGCGUGCUUAACACAUGCAAGUCGAACGGAAAGGCCCUGCUUUUGUGGGGUGCUCGAGUGGCGAACGGGUGAGUAACACGUGAGUAACCUUCCCUUUACUUUUGGAUAACUUCAGGAAACUGUGGCUAAUACCGGAUAGUAGCUCCUGCUGCAUGGUUGGGGUUGGACAGUUUCGGCGGUUGGGGAUGGACUCGCGGCUUAUCAGCUUGUUGGUGGGGUAGUGGCUUACCAAGGCUUUGACGGGUAGCCGGCCUGAGAGUGUGACCGGCCACAUGGGGACAGAGAUACGGCCCAGACUCGUACGGGAGGCAGCAGUGGGGAAUAUUGAACAAUGGGCGGAAGCCUGAUGCAGCAACGCCGCGUGAGGGAUGACGGACUUCGGGUUGUAAACCGCUUUCGCCUGUGACGAAGCGUGAGUGACGGUAAUGGGUAAAGAAGCACCGGCUAACUACGUG
rnacentral:rRNA from 1 species